rnacentral:rRNA from 1 species
AUUGAACGCUGGCGGCAGGCUUAACACAUGCAAGUCGAACGCGUGGAUGACGGGUGAGUAAUUUCUGGGAAACUGCCUGGUGGAGGGGGAUAACUACUGAAACCGGUAGCUAAUAGCGCAUACCAGCAGAUGUGCAGAGAUGGGAGUAGCUUGUUGGUGGGGUAACGGCUCACCAAGGCGACGAUCUCUAGCUGGUCUGAUAGGAUGACCAGCCACACUGGAACUGAGACACGGUCCAGACUCCUACGUGAGGCAGCAGUGGGGAAUAUUGCAAAAUUGGCGCAAGCCUGAUGCAGCCAUGCCGCGUGUAUGAAGAAGGCCUGCGAGUUGUAAAGUACUUUCAUCGGGGAGGCGUUACCCUCAGAAGAAGCACCGGCUAACUCCGUGCCAGCAGCCGCGGUAAUUC